rnacentral:rRNA from 1 species
AAUGCGCUGAGAGAGGAGCCCGCGGCCGAUUAGCUUGUUGGUGGGGUAACGGCCCACCAAGGCAAAGAUCGGUAGCCGGCCUGGGAGGGCACACGGCCACACUGGCACUGAAACACGGGCCAGACUCCUACGGGAGGCAGCAGUGGGGAAUCUUGCACAAUGGGGGAAACCCUGAUGCAGCGACGCCGCGUGAGCGAUGAAGUCCUUCGGGAUGUAAAGCUCUUUCGACGGGAACGAUUAUGACGGUACCCGGAGAAGAAGCUGCGGCUAACUACGUGCCAGCAGCCGCGGUAAUACGUAGGCAGCAAACGUUGUUCGGAAUUACUGGGCGUAAAGAGUGUGUAGGCGGUUGGGCAAGUCUGGUGUGAAAUCUCCCGGCUUAACUGGGAGGGUGCGCUAGAAACUGCCUGGCUCGAGUGUCGGAGAGGAAGGCGGAAUUCCUGGAGUAGCGGUGAAAUGCGUAGAUAUCAGGAGGAACACCAGCGGUGUAGACGGCCUUCUGGACGAUAACUGACGCUGAGACACGAAAGCGUGGGGAGCAAACAGGAUUAGAU